rnacentral:rRNA from 1 species
GUAUGACUCUCGGCAAUGGAUAUCUUGGCUCUUGCAUCGAUGAAGAGCGCAGCGAAAUGCGAUACGUGGUGUGAAUUGCAGAAUCCCGUGAACCAUCGAGUUUUUGAACGCAAGUUGCGCCCGAGGUCAAUUGGCUGAGGGCACGUCCGCCUGGGCGUUAAGC